rfam:Salmo salar isolate Sally breed double haploid chromosome ssa07, whole genome shotgun sequence.
CCCCCUGUGGCUCAGUUGCUAGAGCAUGGUGUGUGCAACGCCAGGGUUGUGGGUUUGAUUCCCACGGGGGGC